UUCAGGUAGUUGUAGAGAGUGAGCAGGUCUCCUCUGAGCACAACAUUUGUCUGACAGUUUUCAUCUGUUGCCACAGAGACAAUUACUUACCCAUGUCAUUAUUAAUCUGCCAACAGUAAGAGUAAUUUUGCAGUCUGAUAUUGUUUAGCGAGUACAGUAACACCUGUUGAACACUUAAAAACUGCCAUAAAC
rfam:Colius striatus contig65323, whole genome shotgun sequence.